rnacentral:rRNA from 2 species
AGAGUUUGAUCAUGGCUCAGGACGAACGCUGGCGGCGAUGCCUGAAUACAUGCAAGUCGAGCGGACUUUCAAGAAGCUUGCUUUUUGAGAAGUUAGCGGCGGACGGGUGAGUAACACGUGGACAACCUGCCUGACAAGACGGGGCAUAACUCCGGUGAAACCGGGCGCUAAUACCGGUAUAAUAUCUUUCUUGCGCAUGCAAGGCAAGGUUGAAAGGCGGCACAAGNCUGCCGCUUGNCAGAUGGGCCCGCUGGCGCAUUAGUCUAGUUGGUGAGGUAACGGCUCACCAAGCGCGACGNAUGNCGUAGCCGACCUGAGAGGGUGAUCGNGCCACACUGGGACUGAGACACGGCCCAGACUCCUACGGGAGGCAGCAGUAGGGAAUCUUCCGCAAUGGACGAAAGUCUGACGGAGCAACGCCGCGUGAGCGAAGAAGGUCUUCGGAUCGUAAAGCUCUGUUGUCAGGGAAGAACAAGUACCGUUCG